rnacentral:rRNA from 1 species
GGGUCAGUAGGUUGGUCGUGCCACCGGUACGUACUGGUCUCACUGAUUCCUCCUUCCUGAAGAACUGUAAUGCCAUUAAUUUGGUGUUGCGGGGAAACAGGACUGUUACUUUGAAAAAAUUAGAGUGUUUAAAGCAAGCUAACGCUUGAAUACAUUAGCAUGGAAUAAUGAAAUAGGACGAUCGAUCCUAUUUUGUUGGUUUCUAGGAUUGACGUAAUGAUUAAUAGGGAUAGGGGGG